CUCGUAGGCGGUUCGUCGCGUCCGGUGUGAAAGUCCAUCGCUUAACGGUGGAUCCGCGCCGGGUACGGGCGGGCUUGAGUGCGGUAGGGGAGACUGGAAUUCCCGGUGUAACGGUGGAAUGUGUACGAUAUCGGGAAGAACACCAAUGGCGAAGGCAGGUCUCUGGGCCGUCACUGACGCUGAGGAGCGAAAGCGUGGGGAGCGAACA
rnacentral:rRNA from 1 species